rnacentral:rRNA from 1 species
AUUGAACGCUGGCGGCAGGCCUAACACAUGCAAGUCGAGCGGAUGAAGGGAGCUUGCUCCUGGAUUCAGCGGCGGACGGGUGAGUAAUGCCUAGGAAUCUGCCUGGUAGUGGGGGAUAACGUCCGGAAACGGGCGCUAGUACCGCAUACGUCCUGAGGGAGAAAGUGGGGGAUCUUCGGACCUCACGCUAUCAGAUGAGCCUAGGUCGGAUUAGCUAGUUGGUGGGGUAAAGGCCUACCAAGGCGACGAUCCGUAACUGGUCUGAGAGGAUGAUCAGUCACACUGGAACUGAGACACGGUCCAGACUCCUACGGGAGGCAGCAGUGGGGAAUGUUGGACAGUGGGCGAAAGCCUGAUCCAGCCAUGCCGCGUGUGUGAAGAAGGUCUUCGGAUUGUAAAGCACUUUAAGUUGGGAGGAACGGCAGUAAGUUAAUACCUUGCUGUUUUGACGUUAACAACAGAAUAAGCACCGGCUAACUUCGUG